ensembl:snoRNA SNORA62 Small nucleolar RNA SNORA62/SNORA6 family
UAUGCACACUGUUAAAGCCGGGCACUGAUGUCGGUGUUCAGGUGUCGGAAGUGUGCGAGAGAAAUCGGGCCGGGUUUUCGCUAACACCAUGAGGACGGCUGUCCCAUGACUGGGGUUUGAUAGUGACCUGAGCCACACUU